UGGUGGAGCGAUUUGUCUGGUUAAUUCCGAUAACGAACGAGACUCUAGCCUAUUAAAUAGUUCGCCGAUUCUAUGUCGGUGCCAACUUCUUAGAGGGACAAGCGGCGUUUAGCCACGCGAGAUUGAGCAAUAACA
rnacentral:rRNA from 1 species